AUUAGAGUUUGAUCCUGGCUCAGAACGAACGCUGGCGGCGUGCCUAACACAUGCAAGUCGAGCGAGAACGCCUGCUUCGGCAGGUUAGUAAAGCGGCGAACGGGUGAGUAACACGUGAGUCACCUACCCUCCAGUAGGGGAUAACACUUCGAAAGGGGUGCUAAUACCGUGUACGGUCCCGACCGUGUCUGCGGAUGGGACGAAAGGUGGCCUCUCUAUAGAAGCUGCCGCUGGAGGAUGGGCUCGCGCCCCAUUAGCUAGUUGGUAGGGUAACGGCCUACCAAGGCAACUAUGGGUAGCUGGUCUGAGAGGACGAUCAGCCACACUGGAACUGAGACACGGUCCAGACUCCUACGGGAGGCAGCAGUGGGGAAUAUUGCACAAUGGGGGAAACCCUGAUGCAGCAACGCCGCGUGCGGGAUGAAGGCCUUCGGGUCGUAAACCGCUGUCAGGGGGGAAGAAAUCGCUCCGGUGAAUAACCGGGGUGGAUGACGGUACCCCCAGAGGAAGCCCCGGCUAACUCCGUGCCAGCAGCCGC
rnacentral:rRNA from 1 species